rnacentral:rRNA from 1 species
UUAAAUUGAAGAGUUUGAUCAUGGCUCAGAUUGAACGCUGGCGGCAGGCCUAACACAUGCAAGUCGAGCGGAAACGACACUAACAAUCCUUCGGGUGCGUUAAUGGGCGUCGAGCGGCGGACGGGUGAGUAAUGCCUAGGAAAUU